rnacentral:rRNA from 1 species
CAGGUAGUCAAGAUGAGAAUUCUAAGGUGAGCGAGCGAACUCUCGUUAAGGAACUCGGCAAAAUGACCCCGUAACUUCGGGAGAAGGGGUGCUCUUUAGGGUUAACGCCCAGAAGAGCCGCAGUGAAUAGGCCCAAGCGACUGUUUAUCAAAAACACAGGUCUCUGCUAAACCGUAAGGUGAUGUAUAGGGGCUGACGCCUGCCCGGUGCUGGAAGGUUAAGAGGAGUGGUUAGCUUCUGCGAAGCUACGAAUCGAAGCCCCAGUAAAC